rnacentral:rRNA from 1 species
GGAUGCUGCAGUUAAAGGGUCCGUAGUCGGCCGCGUGCGCGCCGUGAGGAAACUGCUGUGCUCAAGGCGGCAUGCAGCACGGGGGCGCAGGCGACAGGAGCGGGCGACGGCAGCAGGAUCGCGGGGCGAGAGGUGAAAAUCGGGGACCCCCGCGGGACUGGCGGAAGCGGAGGCGGCUGCCGGGGACGUGUCCGUUGAUCAAGGACGAAGGCCGGAGGAUCGAAGAUGAUUAGACACCGUCGUAGUUCCGGCAGUAAACGAUGCCGACGGCGCGAGGCCCCUGGGCUGUGCGCGGGAGAAAUCUGAGUGUUUGGGCUCUGGGGAUAGUACGCUCGCAAGGGUGA